AGUAAUGUCUGGGAAACUGCCUGAUGGAGGGGGGUAACUACUGGAAACGGUAGCUAAUACCGCAUAACGUCGCAAGACCAAAGUGGGGGACCUUCGGGCCUCAUGCCAUCAGAUGUGCCCAGAUGGGAUUAGCUAGUAGGUGGGGUAACGGCUCACCUAGGCGACGAUCCCUAGCUGGUCUGAGAGGAUGACCAGCCACAUUGGAACUGAGACACGGUCCAG
rnacentral:rRNA from 1 species